GCGGGUUACGAAUUCGCCCCUUAGAGGUUUGAUCAUGGCUCAGGAUGAACGCUAGCUAUAGGCUUAACACAUGCAAGUCGAGGGGUAACAUGAUUAAAGCUUGCUUUAAUUGAUGACGACCGGCGGAUGGGUGAGUAACACGUAUCCAACCUACCGUAUACACGGGGAUAGCCUUUCGAAAGAAAGAUUAAUACCCGAUGGUGUAUUGAAAGCGCAUGCUUUUAUUGCUAAAGAUUUAUUGGUAUAUGAUGGGGAUGCGUUCCAUUAGAUAGUUGGUAGGGUAACGGCCUACCAAGUCAGCGAUGGAUAGGGGUUCUGAGAGGAAGACCCCCCACAUUGGAACUGAGACACGGUCCAAACUCCUACGGGAGGCAGCAGUGAGGAAUCUUGGUCAAUGGGCGCAAUGCCUGAACCAGCCAAGUAGCGUGAAGGAAGACUGCCCUUAGGGUUGUAAACUUCUUUUAUAAGGGAAUAACGAUAGCAACGAGUUGCUAUUUGCAUGUACCUUACGAAUAAGGAUCGGCUAACUCCGUGCCAGCAGCCGCGGUAAUACGGAGGAUCCAAGCGUUAUCCGGAUUUAUUGGGUUUAAAGGGUGCGUAGGCGGGAAAGGAAGUCAGUUGUGAAAUUUUAUGGCUCAACCAUAAACUUGCAGUUGAAACUCUUUUUCUUGAGUACACAUGAGGUGGGCGGAAUUUGUGGUGUAGCGGUGAAAUGCAUAGAUAUCACAAGGAACUCCAAUUGUGAAGGCAGCUCACUGGGGUGUAACUGACGCUAAUGCACGAAGGUGUGGGUAUCAAACAGGAUUAGAUACCCUGGUAGUCCACACAGUAAACUAUGAAUACUCGCUG
rnacentral:rRNA from 1 species